AGCAGCCGCGGUAAUUCCAGCUCCAAUAGCGUAUAUUAAAGUUGUUGCAGUUAAAAAGCUCGUAGUUGAAUUUCGGGAUCAAUAUAUCGGUCGUGCCUUGGUACGUACUGGUAUCAUUGGUUUCUCCUUUCUGACGAACCAUGAUGUCAUUAAUUUGGUGUUAUGGGAAGUUAGGACUGUUACUUUGAGAAAAUUAGAGUGUUUAAAGCAGGCUUUAGCUUGAAUACAUUAGCAUGGAAUAAUGAAAUAGGACGUUCGAACCUAUUUUGUUGGUUUCUAGGAUCAACGUAAUGAUUAAUAGGGAUAGUUGGGGGCAUUAGUAUUCAAUUGUCAGAGGUGAAAUUCUUGGAUUUAUUGAAGACUAACUACUGCGAAAGCAUUUGCCAAGGAUGUUUUCAUUAAUCAAGAACGAAAGUUAGGGGAUCGAAGACGAUCAGAUACCGUCGUAGU
rnacentral:rRNA from 1 species